AGAUUUUCAGACCGUGUCUGGUUCCUACUGUUAUUAUUCAUCGUACUAUGCCUAUUACUACUGCACAACUCUUUAUACUAGUACCUAUACCACAGGUGCCGAGGUGAUUGCGGGAGCGAUUGUUGGGGCUAUCUUUGUUAUUGUAGUGAUUGUGGUAGUGGUCAUUAUAGUUUGCAAGAAACAAGCGGCGACUCGAGCCCGUGUGAUAAACACCACACCAAGCACCACCGUCACCACCGUACACCAACCACAACCACCACCACCAGCAGCUGGAUACGGAUACGGUGGUCCUGGAAUUUCCCAGCCACCCAACCCUAAUGCUGGGUACCCACCUCCCCCAGCUACCUAUCCACCCCCUCCUGGCCCCGGGGCUGGUUAUCCACCUCCGGCUUACCCUCCGACUAAAUACUAAAUGAAACAGCCAAAGAUGCGCUGCGUCUUCGUGAAUUACUUUAUCUCUGGAAUUUCUAUAUUCUAAAUCAAAAAACUUAAUAUCUAUCCUUGAAUACUGUAAAUCACUUUGUAUUCGUGAUUACUUUAUUUUUGUCUGUCUGUUCGCAAA